GGUUUGAUUCUGGCUCAGGAUGAACGCUAGCUACAGGCUUAACACAUGCAAGUCGAGGGGCAGCAUUUUAGUUUGCUUGCAAACUGAAGAUGGCGACCGGCGCACGGGUGAGUAACACGAAUCCAACCUGCCGAUAACUCCGGAAUAGCCUUUCGAAAGAAAGAUUAAUACCGGAUAGUAUACGAAUAUCGCAUGAUAUUUUUAUUAAAGAAUUUCGGUUAUCGAUGGGGAUGCGUUCCAUUAGUUUGUUGGCGGGGUAACGGCCCACCAAGACUACGAUGGAUAGGGGUUCUGAGAGGAAGGUCCCCCACAUUGGAACUGAGACACGGUCCAAACUCCUACGGGAGGCAGCAGUGAGGAAUAUUGGUCAAUGGGCGAGAGCCUGAACCAGCCAAGUAGCGUGAAGGAUGAAGGCUCUAUGGGUCGUAAACUUCUUUUAUAUGGGAAUAAAGUUUUCCACGUGUGGAAUUUUGUAUGUACCAUAUGAAUAAGGAUCGGCUAACUCCGUGCCAGCAGCCGCGGUAAUACGGAGGAUCCGAGCGUUAUCCGGAUUUAUUGGGUUUAAAGGGAGCGUAGGUGGAUUGUUAAGUCAGUUGUGAAAGUUUGCGGCUCAACCGUAAAAUUGCAGUUGAAACUGGGAGUCUUGAGUACAGUAGAGGUGGGCGGAAUUCGUGGUGUAGCGGUGAAAUGCUUAGAUAUCACGAAGAACUCCGAUUGCGAAGGCAGCUCACUAGACUGUCACUGACACUGAUGCUCGAAAGUGUGGGUAUCAAACAGGAUUAGAUACCCUGGUAGUCCACACAGUAAACGAUGAAUACUCGCUGUUUGCGAUAUACAGUAAGCGGCCAAGCGAAAGCAUUAAGUAUUCCACCUGGGGAGUACGCCGGCAACGGUGAAACUCAAAGGAAUUGACGGGGGCCCGCACAAGCGGAGGAACAUGUGGUUUAAUUCGAUGAUACGCGAGGAACCUUACCCGGGCUUAAAUUGCAACAGAAUAUAUUGGAAACAGUAUAGCCGUAAGGCUGUUGUGAAGGUGCUGCAUGGUUGUCGUCAGCUCGUGCCGUGAGGUGUCGGCUUAAGUGCCAUAACGAGCGCAACCCUUAUCUUUAGUUACUAACAGGUCAUGCUGAGGACUCUAGAGAGACUGCCGUCGUAAGAUGUGAGGAAGGUGGGGAUGACGUCAAAUCAGCACGGCCCUUACGUCCGGGGCUACACACGUGUUACAAUGGGGGGUACAGAAGGCGGCUACCUGGUGACAGGAUGCUAAUCCCAAAAACCUCUCUCAGUUCGGAUCGAAGUCUGCAACCCGACUUCGUGAAGCUGGAUUCGCUAGUAAUCGCGCAUCAGCCAUGGCGCGGUGAAUACGUUCCCGGGCCUUGUACACACCGCCCGUCAAGCCAUGAAAGCCGGGGGUACCUGAAGUACGUAACCGCAAGGAGCGUCCUAGGGUAAAACUGGUAAUUGGGGCUAAGUCGUAACAAGGUACCC
rnacentral:rRNA from 1 species